UACCUGGUUGAUCCUGCCAGUAGUCAUAUGCUUGUCUCAAAGACUAAGCCAUGCAAGUCUAAGUACAUGCUUUAACAAAGUGAAACCGCGAAUGGCUCAUUAAAUCAGUUAUGGUUCCUUAGAUCGUACUAUCCUACUUGGAUAACUGUGGUAAUUCUAGAGCUAAUACAUGCAGCAGAACUCAGACCUUCGGGGACGAGUGCUUUUAUUAGACCAAGACCAAUCGGGCCUCGGCUCGACACCCAUGGCGACUCUGGAUAACUUUGGGCUGAUCGCACGAUCUUGUAUCGGCGACGUUUCUUUUUAAGUGUCUGCCUUAUCAACUGUCGAUGGUAGGUUAUGCGCCUACCAUGGUCGUAACGGGUGACGGGGAAUCAGGGUUCGAUUCCGGAGAGGGAGCCUGAGAAACGGCUACCACAUCCAAGGAAGGCAGCAGGCGCGCAAAUUACCCACUCCCGGCCCGGGGAGGUAGUGACGAAAAAUAACGAUGCGGGACUCUUUUGAGGCCCCGCAAUCGGAAUGAGUACACUCUAAAUCCUUUAACGAGGAUCCAUUGGAGGGCAAGUCUGGUGCCAGCAGCCGCGGUAAUUCCAGCUCCAAUAGCGUAUAUUAAAGUUGUUGCGGUUAAAAAGCUCGUAGUUGGAUCUCAGUUCGAGACUGGCGGUCCGCGUUCGGUGGUUACUGCCAGGACUCAACAUCCUGCCGGUUUUCCCCUGGUGCUCUUCACUGAGUGUCUCGGGUGCCCGGCACGUUUACUUUGAAAAAAUUAGAGUGCUCAAGGCAGGCGUUUAGCCUGAAUAAUGGUGCAUGGAAUAAUGUAAUAGGAUCUCGGUUCUAUUGUGUUGGUUUUCGGAACACGAGGUAAUGAUUAAAAGGGACAGCUGGGGGCAUUCGUAUUGCGACGCUAGAGGUGAAAUUCUUGGACCGUCGCAAGACGAACUACUGCGAAAGCAUUUGCCAAGAAUGUUUUUAUUGAUCAAGAACGAGAGUUAGAGGUUCGAAGGCGAUCAGAUACCGCCCUAGUUCUAACCAUAAACGAUGCCAACCAGCAAUCCGCCUGAGUUCCUCAAAUGACUCGGCGGGCAGCUUCCGGGAAACCAAAGUGUUUGGGUUCCGGGGGAAGUAUGGUUGCAAAGCUGAAACUUAAAGGAAUUGACGGAAGGGCACCACCAGGAGUGGAGCCUGUGGCUUAAUUUGACUCAACACGGGAAAACUUACCCGGCCCGGACACCGGAAGGAUUGACAGAUUAAGAGCUCUUUCUUGAUUCGGUGGGUGGUGGUGCAUGGCCGUUCUUAGUUGGUGGAGCGAUUUGUCUGGUUAAUUCCGAUAACGAACGAGACUCUAGCCUACUUAAUAGAGAAUCGAUUUCCUCUCGUCGAUUACUCUUCUUAGAGGGACAAGCGGCGUUUAGCCGCACGAGACAGAGCAAUAACAGGUCUGUGAUGCCCUUAGAUGUCCGGGGCCGCACGCGCGCUACACUGAAGGAAUCAGCGUGUGUUCACCCUGGCCGAAAGGUCUGGGUAACCCGUUGAACCUCCUUCGUGAUAGGGAUAGRGGCUUGUAACUAUUCCCCUUGAACGAGRAAUUCCCAGUAAGCGCGAGUCAUAAGCUCGCGUUGAUUACGUCCCUGCCCUUUGUACACACCGCCCGUCGCUACUACCGAUUGAAUGAUUUAGUGAGGUCUUCGGACUGGUGCUCGGAGCGGCCCUCGGGUCGCGCCGGCGUACCGGAAAGAUGACCAAACUUGAUCAUUUAGAGGAAGUAAAAGUCGUAACAAGGUUUCCGUAGGUGAACCUGCGGAAGGAUC
rnacentral:rRNA from 1 species